UACGAAGGGGGCUAGCGUUGUUCGGAAUUACUGGGCGUAAAGCGCACGUAGGCGGAUCUUUAAGUCAGAGGUGAAAUCCCAAGGCUCAACCUUGGAACUGCCUUUGAUACUGGGGAUCUUGAGUCCGGAAGAGGUGAGUGGAACUGCGAGUGUAGAGGUGAAAUUCGUAGAUAUUCGCAAGAACACCAGUGGCGAAGGCGGCUCACUGGUCCGGUACUGACGCUGAGGAGCGAAAGCAUGGGGAGCGAACAGG
rnacentral:rRNA from 1 species